ACAAGCACAAGAGGUGCGGGCUGCCUGGGGCUGGGUCGCUACUCCCCAUCUCACGCCGAGGAGUAGCUGCAGCCUUGGCUCUGCUCCUUCCCCCCCAUGUGCCAGCCAGUGUAGCUGAGCCAGUACAUUUGGGGAUGUACUCUUCUGUGCCAGGAAAAGAGUUGGUACAACUUAUUCUCCACCCUGGAGCUUUUAACAGUGUUGCAAUAGAUACAGUCUUGGCUGACUGAGUCAGACUCUUACUAGAUAGAAGACAAACAGAGAAGGAAAGAAAAAGGAAGAAAUAAGGUGUCAGAUAAAGAUGGAGUCUCUCUUUGACCCUUAUGUUCCAAAGGAAUUGUCUUUGUCCUAAAAGUCAGGAAUGCCUUCUGAUUUCAAUUUAUUGGAUGAAAAGGCUAUUUUUAUACUGGAACCAUUAAAAUAGCAAUUUCUCAAUAGUUUAAACAAAGAAUAUACAACAAGCUAUGAAAUUCCAUUCGUAAAACGUAUCCCCAGGUGAACACAACUAAAGUCUGGAUUUCACGUUAUAUUACAUGUAGAAGAAAUUUACACAACUACAGGUGGAUAAAUUAAUGUCAGUGUGCAGAUCCCAUUUUAGGAGAGGAAAGCAGGCAUCAGAAUGUGCAAAAUUUAAGUAGUCAACCAAUCAUUAUAGAGACAAUGUAUUCUAUUAUUACGGAAGUGACACAGACUUAGGAUUUAUUAAUUUGCCAUAUGAAGCUAUCUGGUCUUUAUUACCUCGCACUUGUUUAGCAACCCAGUUUCUUGCAGCCUUGACCAGAUGCUUUGUAUUCUUCCAGCAUGCUCAGGAUGGUUGUUGUUGUUGCCACACAUGCAUUGGUGCUUCAGCAUUAGACUGUCAUAGACAACACCUUCAGCACAAAGACAAUACAACAAGAAAAUAGAAGUAAAACUGAAAUACAAGCCAUCGCUGUGUGAAGUGCUCAUCGAAUGGACGGAAUAGUUGUGCAUUGGCAGGAUAAAGAGGAAACAUUCUAUCUGUGGAGGACAGAGGCAGACAGAACAGAGGACAAAGGCAGAGUCGAUCUAAGUGAGUUUAUUCUGUUCACAUCUAGCUAUGGUUUCCUGGGAGAAAGCACGAGCAAAGUCUGAGAACUUGGAUAUGUGAAUUCAAGAGGA